rnacentral:rRNA from 1 species
GUUGUAUGGUUAAGUGACUAAGCGUACACGGUGGAUGCCUUGGCAGUCAGAGGCGAUGAAGGACGUAUUAACUUGCGAUAAGCCCAGAUUAGGUAGUAAAAACCAUUUGAGUCUGGGAUUUCCGAAUGGGGAAACCCACUAGCAUAAGCUAGUAUCGCUGCGUGAAUACAUAGCGCAGCGAGGCGAACCGGGGGAACUGAAACAUCUAAGUACCCCGAGGAAAAGAAAUCAACCGAGAUUCCGAAAGUAGCGGCGAGCGAAAUUGGAUUAGCCCUUAAGCUUUUUAUGCGUCAGGUGAAACUUCUGGAAAGUUGUGCGAUACAGGGUGAUAGCCCCGUAACCGGCAACGCAUUUAAAGUGAAAUCGAGUAGGGCGGGACACGUGAUAUCCUGUCUGAAUAUGGGGGGACCAUCCUCCAAGGCUAAAUACUACUGACUGACCGAUAGUGAACCAGUACCGUGAGGGAAAGGCGAAAAGAACCCCUGUGAGGGGAGUGAAAUAGAACCUGAAACCGUGUACGUACAAGCAGUAGGAGCACCUUCGUGGUGUGACUGCGUACCUUUUGUAUAAUGGGUCAGCGACUUAUAUUCAGUGGCAAGGUUAACCAUCUAGGGGAGCCGUAGGGAAACCGAGUCUUAACUGGGCGUUCAGUCUCUGGAUAUAGACCCGAAACCAGGUGAUCUAGCCAUGGGCAGGUUGAAGGUUGAGUAACAUCAACUGGAGGACCGAACCGACUAAUGUUGAAAAAUUAGCGGAUGACUUGUGGCUAGGGGUGAAAGGCCAAUCAAACCUGGAGAUAGCUGGUUCUCCCCGAAAGCUAUUUAGGUAGCGCCUCGGACGAAUACUACUGGGGGUAGAGCACUGUUAAGGCUAGGGGGUCAUCCCGACUUACCAACCCUUUGCAAACUCCGAAUACCAGUAAGUACUAUCCGGGAGACACACGGCGGGUGCUAACGUCCGUCGUGGAGAGGGAAACAACCCAGACCGCCAGCUAAGGUCCCAAAUUACUACUAAGUGGGAAACGAUGUGGGAAGGCUCAGACAGCCAGGAUGUUGGCUUAGAAGCAGCCAUCAUUUAAAGAAAGCGUAAUAGCUCACUGGUCGAGUCGGCCUGCGCGGAAGAUGUAACGGGGCUAAGUAGUAAACCGAAGCUGCGGCAAUGCACUUUAGUGCAUUGGGUAGGGGAGCGUUCUGUAAGCGGUUGAAGGUGUGUGGUAACGCAUGCUGGACGUAUCAGAAGUGCGAAUGCUGACAUGAGUAACGAUAAAGGGGGUGAAAAACCUCCUCGCCGGAAGACCAAGGGUUCCUGUCCAACGUUAAUCGGGGCAGGGUAAGUCGACCCCUAAGGCGAGGCCGAAAGGCGUAGUCGAUGGGAAACGGGUUAAUAUUCCCGUACUUCUUACAAUUGCGAUGGGGGGACGGAGAAGGCUAGGUGGGCCUGGCGACGGUUGUCCAGGUUCAAGUGCGUAGGCUGAGAGAUUAGGUAAAUCCGGUUUCUCUUAAGGCUGAGACACGACGUCGAGCUACUACGGUAGUGAAGUCAUUGAUGCCAUGCUUCCAGGAAAAGCCUCUAAGCUUCAGAUUGUAAGGAAUCGUACCCCAAACCGACACAGGUGGUCGGGUAGAGAAUACCAAGGCGCUUGAGAGAACUCGGGUGAAGGAACUAGGCAAAAUGGUACCGUAACUUCGGGAGAAGGUACGCUCUCGACGGUGAAGUCCCUUGCGGAUGGAGCUAUUGAGAGUCGCAGAUACCAGGUGGCUGCAACUGUUUAUUAAAAACACAGCACUGUGCAAAAUCGUAAGAUGACGUAUACGGUGUGACGCCUGCCCGGUGCCGGAAGGUUAAUUGAUGGGGUUAGACUUCGGUCGAAGCUCUUGAUCGAAGCCCCGGUAAACGGCGGCCGUAACUAUAACGGUCCUAAGGUAGCGAAAUUCCUUGUCGGGUAAGUUCCGACCUGCACGAAUGGCGUAAUGAUGGCCACGCUGUCUCCACCCGAGACUCAGUGAAAUUGAAAUCGCUGUGAAGAUGCAGUGUACCCGCGGCUAGACGGAAAGACCCCGUGAACCUUUACUACAGCUUGGCACUGAACAUUGACCCUACAUGUGUAGGAUAGGUGGGAGGCUUUGAAACUAGUACGCCAGUAUUAGUGGAGCCGUCCUUGAAAUACCACCCUUGUAGUGUUGAUGUUCUAACGUCGACCCCUUAUCGGGGUUGCGGACAGUGCCUGGUGGGUAGUUUGACUGGGGCGGUCUCCUCCCAAAGCGUAACGGAGGAGCACGAAGGUGGGCUAAUCACGGUUGGACAUCGUGAGGUUAGUGCAAUGGCAUAAGCCCGCUUGACUGCGAGAAUGACAAUUCGAGCAGGUGCGAAAGCAGGUCAUAGUGAUCCGGUGGUUCUGAAUGGAAGGGCCAUCGCUCAACGGAUAAAAGGUACUCCGGGGAUAACAGGCUGAUACCGCCCAAGAGUUCAUAUCGACGGCGGUGUUUGGCACCUCGAUGUCGGCUCAUCACAUCCUGGGGCUGAAGUCGGUCCCAAGGGUAUGGCUGUUCGCCAUUUAAAGUGGUACGCGAGCUGGGUUUAGAACGUCGUGAGACAGUUCGGUCCCUAUCUGCCGUGGGCGUUGGAAGAUUGAAGGGGGCUGCUCCUAGUACGAGAGGACCGGAGUGGACGAACCUCUGGUGUUCGGGUUGUGUCGCCAGACGCAUUGCCCGGUAGCUAAGUUCGGAAUCGAUAACCGCUGAAAGCAUCUAAGCGGGAAGCGAGCCCUGAGAUGAGUCUUCCCUGAUACUUUAAGUAUCCUAAAGGGUUGUUCGAGACUAGAACGUUGAUAGGCAGGGUGUGUAAGCGUUGUGAGGCGUUGAGCUAACCUGUACUAAUUGCCCGUGAGGCUUAACCAUACAACACCCAAGGGGUUU